rnacentral:rRNA from 1 species
AUACGUAGGUGGCAAGCGUUGUUCGGAAUUAUUGGGCGUAAAGCGCGCGCAGGUGGUUCCUUAAGUCUGAUGUGAAAGCCCCCGGCUCAACCGGGGAGGGUCAUUGGAAACUGGGGAACUUGAGUGCAGAAGAGGAUAGUGGAAUUCCAAGCGUAGCGGUGAAAUGCGUAGAGAUUUGGAGGAACAACAGUGGCGAAGGCGACUGUCUGGUCUGUAACUGACACUGAGGCGCGAAAGCGUGGGGAGCAAACAGGAUUAGAUACCCUGGUAGUCCACGCCGUAAACGAUGAGUGCUAAGUGUUGGGGGGUUUCCGCCCCUCAGUGCUGCAGCUAACGCAUUAAGCACUCCGCCUGGGGAGUACGGUCGCAAGACUGAAACUCAAAUGAAUUGACGGGG